rnacentral:rRNA from 1 species
UGGGGAAUUUUGGACAAUGGGCGAAAGCCUGAUCCAGCAAUGCCACGUGUGUGAAGAAGGCCUUCGGGUUGUAAAGCACUUUUGUCCGGAAAGAAAUCCUUGGCUCUAAUACAGUCGGGGGAUGACGGUACCGGAAGAAUAAGCACCGGCUAACUACGUGCCAGCAGCCGCGGUAAUACGUAGGGUGCAAGCGUUAAUCGGAAUUACUGGGCGUAAAGCGUGCGCAGGCGGUUUGCUAAGACCGAUGUGAAAUCCCCGGGCUCAACCUGGGAACUGCAUUGGUGACUGGGCAGGCUAGAGUAUGGCAGAGGGGGGUUAGAAUUCCACGUGUAGCAGUGAAAUGCGUAGAGAUGUGGAGGAAUACCGAUGGCGAAGGCAGCCCCCUGGGCCAAUACUGACGCUCAUGCACGAAAGCGUGGGGGAGCAAACAGGAUUCAGAUACCCUGGUAGUCCACGCCCUAAACGAUGUCAACUAGUUGUUGGGGAUUCAUUUCCUUAGUAACGUAGCUAACGCGUGAAGUUGACCGCCUGGGGAGUACGGUCGCAAGAUUAAAACUCAAAUGAAUUGACGGGGUCAUAGCUGUUUCCU